AGCAGUUAAGGCAGGGUCCUGGGCAGCUGCUGAUCUGAGAGGCAGCAGCCUACCGGACACCCCUGUAUGGGCAGCCCUCCUGGUGGGGCGAGGAUGAGGGUGAGAGCUCACAUGAGGACCGGCGCCCAGAGGAGUCCGACCCAGAGCGGCCCAAGGCGCUGACACAGCAGGACAGGGAGCUGGCCGGGUCGAUGGGCGGCUUCCGGGCCACAGCGGAGCCUCCCAGCUACUCGUUCAGACGGGAGCCCAGUUACUUCGAGAUCCCCACGAAGGAGGCCCCACCGCCACGGCCCCCCGAG